UUUCCGUAGGUGAACCUGCGGAAGGAUCAUUCAUAAUAAGUGUUUUAUGGCACUUUUUUAAAUCCAUAUCCACCUGUGUGCAAUGUCAGGGUUGAUUUUUCUCUCGAGAGGAUCAGCCCCAAACAUCAACUAUAUCUCAACUCUUUGUCUGAAAAAUAUUAUGAAUAAAACAAUUCAGAAUACAACUUUCAACAACGGAUCUCUUGGCUCUC
rnacentral:misc_RNA from 1 species